rnacentral:lncRNA from 1 species
CUCAAACAGGUGGUACCAGUGACGAGAACCAUUCAACGCUGGUCUGACCAAUCGGAAGCCACGCUCCAAGAUUGUUUUGAUGACACGGACUGGAAUAUGUUCCGGUCAGCCUCAGAGAACAACAUUGAUCUAUACGCUGACUCGGUGAGUGUGUUUAUAAAUAAGUGCAUUGGAGAUGUCGUACCCACUGUGACUAUUAAAACCUACCCUAACCAGAAACCAUGGAUGGAUGGCGGCAUUUGCAAAAAACUGAAAGCACGAUCCACCGCAUUUAACCAUGGAAAGAGGUCUGGUGAUAUGGCUGAAUAUAAACAUUGUAGUUAUUCCCUCCACAAGGCAAUCAAACAAGCGAAAUGCCGGUACAGGGACAAGGUGGAGGUGCAAUUCAAUGGCUCAGACACCUGACGUAUGUAGCAGGGUCUACAGGAAAUCACAGACUACAAAAACAAAAUCAGCCACGUCACGGAUACCGACGUCACGCUUCCAGACAAACUAAACACCUUCUUUGCCCUCUUUGUGGACAAUACAGUGCCACCGUUGCGGCUCCCUAUCAAAGACUGCACCCCCCUCCUCUCCUUCUCAGUGGCUGACCUCUUCUAAGAAUCCUGUGAUGUAGCUGUGAGCUCCAGACGAGACUGGCUAAUAGUAAUUCCAUUGUUCUGGUCGUUAUUUAUGCCUUGGCUGUACCAGGCAUGAUGAGCGGCCAUCAUCCUAACCUCCACCUCCACUACCUCCAUCACCACCUCCACAAUGCCC